ensembl:lncRNA
CUGGGCUCUAAUGGCAGUGGGACCAUCACACCAGGCGAUACCCCUACUAGCAACAAAGUCAGACCCGCAUCUGCUGGAGUUGCCAGCCUCAAUGAUGAUCCACAGCCAGUUACGCGUGUUCGCAGUGGGUCUAUAGCUGUAAUGCCAUCUGUUUUGGCAAGGUCAGGCCGCUCAACAUCCAUGACCCCUGUCAUCGACACUAAAACAAAUACUGAAGCCAUAAUUGGAAGUGGUCAAGAGCACGGUGGUACAAGUAGACUGGCAACCACUCUGGACACCAUUGGUGGUGUACAGCGGUCAGGGAUAUUCAAACCAAGAGCGGCUAGCGUACCCACUCCUCUUGACAAGGGCUCUCUGGGAUUGGACACUCUAACAGGGACCAAAUGCAGUGAGAGGACACUCCUUAGUGUCAAAACUCUGUCUGCUGGCAGCAAUAAUAUGUCCAACACUAAUGAAAGCACUUUGUACCAGAACACAAGUAGCACUCUGUCAAACAGUGGUAAUGCGGUUGUGACAUCCCCCAAAGAUGCAGUGUUGGCAUCCAAGAGCCCUCACAAAAGACCUGGCUUAUGCACUGAUUUGAGCCCAACACCUGUUAAAAAAGCCCACAUUUCUGUGCUACCAGCAGGUGGAACCGAUGGACUGAAGUCGAAUGUAAUGGCGAAGCAAAAUCCAAGAUCAAGCACUCCUAUAAGGACAGAAAGUGCACCUCUCACAGCCACAGGUAAAGCUACUGCAUGUCCAGUCAGGAAUACUGGCUUCCAGACAGUUCGUAGGCCUCAAAGCAUCUCCCAGGGAAGAUGGGAAGGAGCUUCAUCAGUAAUGGAUUACAGAGUUUCUGUCACCUCUACAGCAGGUCAGGAUACUUCAGUGGGGAAUACCAUGUUUCAGACUGUUUGCAGACCCCGAAGCAUCUCCCAAGGGAGAUGGGAAGGAUCUUCAACAGGUGUUGAAGGUAGAGCUGUGGUCACCCGAACUGUUAGCGCUCCAGGUCAGGCUUUGCUACAACAAGUAACCAAAAACUCAAAGGAUUUGCUUCUAGACCAGUCUGACUCUUCUGCAGCAUAUGAACUGAAGAGUGUAUUUUGGGAUAGUGAGCUGCAAGAUGCUACUCAACAACAUCAGGAAGUUUAUGGCCCGCAAAUGGUGUCUGAGCCAAAGCAAAUGUCCACCCCAGUGAUGGAGCCCCUUCCUGCAAUUGCUCAAGCCUCUCCUUCCAACCAGCAGGCUCAAAUGGGUGACUAUAGAACCCAGGCCAACCUAAGCUACUUUCCGUUUGAUGAUGACAUGACUCAGGAUAGCAUUGUUGAGGAACUUG